GACGAACGCUGGCGGCGUGCUUAACACAUGCAAGUCGAACGGAAAGGCCCUGCUUUUGUGGGGUGCUCGAGUGGCGAACGGGUGAGUAACACGUGAGUAACCUGCCCUUGACUUUGGGAUAACUUCAGGAAACUGGGGCUAAUACCGGAUAGGAGCUCCUGCUGCAGGGUGGGGGUUGGAAAGUUUCGGCGGUUGGGGAUGGACUCGCGGCUUAUCAGCUUGUUGGUGGGGUAGUGGCUUACCAAGGCUUUGACGGGUAGCCGGCCUGAGAGGGUGACCGGCCACAUUGGGACUGAGAUACGGCCCAGACUCCUACGGGAGGCAGCAGUGGGGAAUAUUGCACAAUGGGCGGAAGCCUGAUGCAGCAACGCCGCGUGCGGGAUGACGGCCUUCGGGUUGUAAUCCGCUUUCGCCUGUGACGAAGCGUGAGUGACGGUAAUGGGUAAAGAAGCACCGGCUAACUACGUG
rnacentral:rRNA from 1 species